GAAAUUAUAUUUUUGGUCCUCACUUUAGAAGGGUUUCUCUGUCUUAUUUUAUUUCGUUUUCUGUUUUACAUAUAUCACCUUUAGUUUAUUCCAUAGCUAAAGUGUGUGCUUUCACUGAACUCCUGUGCAUCCUGACCUCACAUUCCUGAGAUGUGACCUAUGGACAGCAGCUGUCACUCAUUCCCCUACAGAGGAGGGGGAUGCUGACCUCUCGGGCACUGGCCAGCAGAAAUGGAGCCAGCACUCUAAUCUAAACCACCUGAAGAAUAAGAGUAUGGCUGUGAGAACCGCUCUGGAUGUCCAGUUCUCAAGAAGAACAAAAGACUGAACUUUGACCCAGAACCUCCAUGGAUUUCCUGCUGUCAAUCUGAUUUGUUGUGGACAGGAAGGGACGGAGUUUACUGCAACACUAGGUGUCCCUUUGAAGUCAUUCCCUGAGGAGAGGAACUGGUCACGGAGAAUGACCCUCUACGAUUGGCUGAAGGAGGAGACGGAUCAUCGAUCAGCCAAUGCAAGUGUUCCAGGGCGGAGAUUCGACGUCAUGUUUUCCGCGGGAGGAGGAAACCCGAAUUCUCUUUAAAAGUCUGAGCAGAGCAUAAUUUUAUUGUCUUCUUCUGUCUUGUGGUCUUUCAUGUAAAACGCCUGUAACUUCUUGCGUUUUGAAGGCCUUCUAAAAUGAGGACCCAGAUCUGUUUUAAUUCUGUCUUAGAACUUUUGUUAGGGAAUAAACCUUCUGUGACUUUAUCCGGCUGAAUCUUGGUCUUAUAUCUCUCCCGACUAAUAGAACAUGCGUGGAAAAAUCUCAGAGCGAAAGAUAUUUUCCUACAAACUUGGUGACCCGAUACGUGAAGUCGGGGAACGGUACAUGGAUCGAGCCGGUGACGUAUUUUUCGUAUUUUUGAGACUUUCAGUGUAAAGUCUGGGCACGCUUCCUCCCGUCCACUUGGUCGACUUCUCACGCGGCCGCAUACAAAACAGGUAAGCAGAAGCCUGCUGCAAAAUUCUGCAUAUUGAUUAAGUUAUCUCAUAGUUGAAUAACUCAAAUUGAACGAGAUCUCGAGUGAGUGGGCGGUAGAGCUUCCCCCGAAAAUAAAUAAAUAAAUAAAUAGAUAGAUAAAUAAAUGCAUAAAUAAAUAAGAAAAUAAAUAAAUAGAUAGAUAAAUAAAUAAAUAAAUAAAUAAAUAAAAGUUGACCCAAACUUUAAAGGGAUGGUUGACUGUUAGUUUGUGACACCUAGUGUGCAACAACAGUACAGAAAAGGUAUCCUAGGUUUAUCGGUUGUGUUUGAAGAAAUGUAUUUAAAAUGCAUAAGGUUCCGUCUGUUUGUCCUAGAGACGCCCAAGGCGUAAAAACAGUGUAGUUUAGGAACUAAUUUUUGCGCGUUUAGGUAAUUUGGAAGACACUAACGGGGCAGCGGCCUCGACAAAUUAUUUUUUUAGAUGGAGAGUGACCAAAGAAGGAUUCGAAAUUAACAUCAAAGGCAAAUAUGAGGUAUAUGAUGCAUUUUGUCCGGACAAAAUACGACUGGGGUGGAACAGACAAUACGACGACGGACGACGGUGACGAUUUGACUUGACAACAGCGGUGAAAAUGACUUGAAUGUGGAUGAAUGGAAUGGAAUGUAUGAGAUUUUGGAAAGAAUGGGAUGAAAAAGUGUUUGAAAUCUGUGAAUUUUAACUUUAUUUCCACAUUUCCUUGUUUAUUGUGUCUAUGGCCGCAGCCAUCUUGUUUACGUCGAAUGAACCAAUGACUGGAGGUUUUAGUUGCUUUCGAAUGUGUCGAUGUCUAUGAUUGGCUUUGUUAGUACCACGUGGCCGGCGAGCCGGCGUCCCCGGAAAUCGUAAUGGCGAAACACGCUAGACUUUUACAGUUAGAGUUUGGGAUCUAAUCUGCGGUAAAAUCAUGGCGGGGAUCGUCGUUAUCGAGCGUGGUCAUGACCUCGGUUGUAAGACGUCGUUUAAAAAAACAAAUUUCAGUGGGUUUUCAGUUCGCAGAAAAAGUUUUUUAAGUAGCGCUGCGCUUCCGAUGGAAGCCUCUGCCACCAGGCGAGGACAUGACUGCAUGCAUGGCUGCAGCAGCCGGCUCUGGUCGAACGAAAACUACUUUCUCGGGAGGUUCCCCAAAUCUUUUCAAAAACAUGAUCCUGCCUGUUCAGAAAGCUCGGCGCCGUUGUGAGGAGGCUGGUAUCUGCUGGCAGUCAGGCUGCUCUGGACUGGAGACUCUGGAGCGACAGAGCAGCAGGUUGGAUGUGGUUGUUGACACCUGCAUUCAGACGACCAUAACGGCUUCAUCUGCAGACUCUGCAUCACGAGCCUCGGUGAGGCUCCAUGUGGAGGAGGUGCUGUGGAGGACCGGCUACACCUGAGGACAUCAGAGCAGAGCCAGACGUGACUCCAGGUUGACGCUGCUCCUCCUCCUCAUUCCUUCAUCAUCGCUUCAGCGUGAGUUUACGCAGGGACCUAAAACACACAACAUGGACGGAGUCGUGACUGAUUCCUGAUUGUCUCCAGUGAACACACAGACUUGCAGGACAGAGUGGGACGUUGGUGAUGACUUCUGAGUGACAGAGUCCUCCUCGUGUUCAUCGAUCUGUUUGCUUUCCCUCCAUGGAAGCGGCUCUCGUGGCGUCCGCUCGUGCUCCUGCUCGUGCUCUGGCGUCGUCUCAUCUUCUGCGGGCGCUGAAUAAUUGCAGAUGCUGGUGGCGUGGCGUCGAGAACACAUGUCAGCGCGUGAUUUAUAAGCCUUACUGUCAGCAUGCAGAUGAACACUAAUGCAGUGUUUGCAUUCUGCAGGCAUUCACUCCGGGCUUUGACCCAACCAGCCCCAGAGGUGCGUCAUCACUCCUCCUUCCCCUCGCAGCGCCGCGUCAAAACAGCACCAGCAUUUCGUUUAUCCCUCAAUCCCUUCAAAAUCAAGACUGUCUUUCUUUUCCCAGUGUUUCAGAGUCAGGGGAUGACCUGAAAAGCUGCUUUCCAGGCUUACCCUGGGGGAGUCACUGAUCCUCACUCCCCCGGACCCUUUGGCAGGACGGCUGUGGCUUUGUUUGGUUGAAAACCUUUAGGUUCAGCCUCAGAUUCCUAAAGCUCCUGCUGGUUAUGUCCUGAUCCACUCAGAGUUUUAAGGCCCGACCCGCAGGAGCAAACCAGGAAAACAAGACCUCUUCUGUGGAGUUCAAGCAUCUCCACAGGAGAGCAGAGCCAGAGCUUAGGAAAGAGAUUCAGUUACAUUUAAAGCUGUGAAGGUUUACACUCCCAUCAUGCAGGAUUAGCUCUGGAUGCAGGAUUAGUUCUGAUGGUUUUACCUUCUGAAGGUCUGACGCUGCCAGAGAAAUCCUGGAGGAAAGGUCAAAGUGUCUGUAAAAUCUAAAGAUUCAGUCUCUGGGAGGGGAUUGUUUCUGAGAGGGGAAGAAACAUCUCUGCCCGUCGGCGGCGGCGAUGCUCAGGGAAAGGUCGGCCAUCAUCAAAAAGGUGCGCUGAUCAAAAACCAGCUGCUCAUUAUUCAAAUGAAGACCCAAAGCAGCUGCAGAGGUUCAGAACUCGGCGCUUUGGUCCUCUCAUCCCUCAGUCUGGGUCUCGGCUCCGUCUGGGUACCCAGAAGGCAGCUGGGGGGUCCCAAAGAGCAGACCUGCAGCGGAGCGGCAGCCUCUAUUUUCUCAGGGUGACAGGAGGAUCAUCCUGCAGAAGAGAGCAAACAGUCUGACAGAGAUGCUGUUUUGACAGGGAUUUCCUCACCUGUCCGUCUUCAGGAGCGUGUCGCCACAUCUUUGCUGUUUUCUGAGCAGUCGCUGGGAUUUCUGUUAACAAAGUCUCGGUUUGGCUUCACAACAACAUUUUGGAUUCGUUUGUUUGGAACAAAAAUGGCAAAGAAAUGUCAUGCUGAUCAAAAUUGCAAAUCUCUUCACUCCAGAACCGCUGUAGUAUUUUCAUUUCCUUGAAGAGAAUUUUCCAGUUUUCCUUAGACACUGCCGUCUGUGCUGCCACGCCCACAUUGUUGUCAUGACGACAGUAAAAAGCGCAACCAUGUUUUAAUGGGGUCUAUAUCCUGCUUCUCUUAAGCCUUUCAGAGUAAACUUUAUCCAUGUAUACGAUUAUAUGUUACCUUUGGCACACUAAAGAACUAUUUCUUUUUAUUAAACUUGUUAUUUUUCCAGCG